ACUCCUACGGGAGGCAGCAGUGGGGAAUAUUGGACAAUGGGCGCAAGCCUGAUCCAGCAAUGCCGCGUGUGUGAAGAAGGCCUGCGGGUUGUAAAGCACUUUCAGUGGGGAGGAAGGUCUCAAUGCUAAUAGUAUUGAGAAUUGACGUUACCUACAGAAGAAGCACCGGCUAACUUCGUGCCAGCAGCCGCGGUAAU
rnacentral:rRNA from 1 species